CCACCAUCCAGAGCGGCCGAGAGAUCUGGCUCGACGACGCCGCAGCAACCCGCGGUCCCUGCCUCACGAGGCGGGCGACCGGCCGAGGGUGCUACCGCCAGGACCGAUGGAGG
rnacentral:ncRNA from 2 species